AUUUUGACUUGGCGAGGGUUUCGCGGUUUUCGCCUUCGCUUCAUCCUUUUCUCGUUCCUCCUCCAUUGCCGUUCGUCUCUUCGACCAAACGGCGACAGCUUUCUGAGAUAAAAAAACUCUAAAACAAGAAGAUUAGAGAUCUAAAUCUCUUCAGAUUCGGCUUCCCUUGUUCGUUUUCUUCGAAGAAUCCGACGUACGUGGUCUCUGUUUCAUGCAUUAAGACUAAGGAACGAGGAUCUUUGCGACACCUUGCGAUCUUCCUCCACCUCUGUCUCCUAGCCUGCUUGUGCUAAGCAGGCAGAAGAUUUGAUUGAUCAAUAGUCAUGUCGACUUUUGCGAAGCCAGAGAAUGCCCUGAAGCGUGCCGAAGAGUUAAUCAAUGUUGGACAGAAGCAAGCAGCCCUGCAAGCACUUCAUGAUCUGAUCACUUCGAAGCGGUACAGAGCAUGGCAGAAGACACUUGAACGUAUAAUGUUUAAGUAUGUAGAGCUCUGUGUGGACAUGCGAAAGGGUAGAUUUGCCAAGGAUGGUCUGAUCCAGUAUCGUAUUGUAUGCCAGCAAGUGAAUGUUAAUUCAUUAGAGGAAGUGAUUAAACAUUUUAUGCAUCUGUCCACUGAGAAAGCAGAGCAAGCUCGAAGUCAAGCACAGGCCCUGGAAGAAGCUCUGGAUGUUGAUGAUCUGGAAGCAGACAAAAGACCAGAAGACCUAAUGUUAAGCUAUGUUAGUGGAGAGAAAGGAAAGGAUAGGUCCGAUCGUGAAGUUGUAACCCCGUGGUUCAAAUUCUUGUGGGAAACCUAUAGAACAGUGCUUGAGAUUUUGCGUAACAACUCAAAAUUGGAAGCACUAUAUGCGAUGACGGCACACCGGGCUUUCCAGUUCUGUAAGCAAUAUAAACGAACAACAGAGUUUCGCAGGCUAUGUGAAAUAAUCAGGAAUCAUCUGGCAAAUCUAAACAAAUACAGAGACCAGAGGGACCGUCCUGACUUGUCGUCUCCAGAAAGCUUGCAGCUAUAUCUUGACACAAGGUUCGAGCAGCUCAAGAUUGCAAACGAACUCAAACUCUGGCAGGAAGCUUUCCGUUCAGUUGAAGAUAUUCAUGGGUUGAUGUGCAUGGUUAAGAAAACUCCCAAGCCAUCCUUGAUGGUCAUUUAUUAUGCUAAACUAACGGAGAUAUUUUGGGUUUCAGACAGCCACCUUUAUCAUGCUUAUGCAUGGUUUAAACUUUUCACACUACAGAAAUCUUAUAACAAGAAUUUAACCCAGAAGGAUUUGCAAUUGAUAGCAUCUUCAGUUGUUUUAGCUGCACUUUCUGUGACCCCCUAUGCUCACACACACGGUGCAUCUCAUUUGGAGCUUGAAAAUGAGAAGGAUAGAAAUCUGAGGAUGGCCAGCCUUAUAGGGUUUAGUCUUGACCCUAAACGCGAGAUCAGAGAAGUGCUUUCAAGGUCUUCACUUCUUUCGGAACUGGUUUCAAAAGGCGUAAUGACCUGUGUAUCUCAGGAAGUAAAAGAUCUUUACCAUCUUUUAGAGCAUGAGUUUCUCCCCUUAGAUCUUGCUUCUAAAGCACAGCCACUGUUAACCAAAAUUUCCAAAGUUGGAGGGAAGCUUGCCUCAGCUUCUUCUGUUCCUGAAUUACAGCUAUCACAGUAUAUUCCUGCCCUUGAAAAGCUUGCUACUUUGAGAUUGCUACAGCAGGUUUCCCAGGUUUAUCAGACAAUGAAGACUGAGGUGCUGUCUAGGAUGAUCCCAUUUUUUGAUAGUUCUGUUGUGGAAAAGAUUUCUGUUGAUGCUGUCAAAUAUAAUUUCAUCUCCAUGAAAGUUGACCAUAGGAAGGGUGCUGUUGUAUUUGGUAAAUUGGACCUUGAAUCAGACAGGCUUCAAAAUCACCUCACUGUUCUUGCUGAAUCUCUUAAUAAAGCAAAGGCCCUGAUUUCUCCUCCAGUGAAGAAUGAAUCCAAAUUAGGUGAAACUUUGCCAGGUUUAUCUGAGAUUGUUGAUAAAGAACACAUGAGGCUUCUUGCUCGGAAAUCAAUAAUUGAGAAACGCAAGGAAGAGCAAGAACGACAAAUGUUAGAAAUGGAGCGAGAGGAAGAGUCAAAGAGACUUAAAUUACAGAAAAUAACUGAAGAGGCUGAACAGAAGAGACUUGCCACUGAGUAUUCCCGAAGAGAGGAACAAAGGAUUCGCAGGGAAAUCGAAGAGAGAGAACUUGAAGAAGCGCAAGCUAUGCUUCAGGAAGCAGAGAAACGUAGUAAAAAGAAGGGAAAGAAGACUGUCAUUGAAGGGGAGAAAGUGACCAAACAGUCAUUGAUUGAAUUGGCUUUGAGUGAGCAACUCAAAGAGAGGCAGGAAAUGGAAAAGAAGUUACAGAGACUUGCCAAAACAAUGGAUUAUAUGGAAAGAGCGAAGAGAGAAGAGGAGGCGUCUCUGAUAGAAGCUGCAUAUCAAAAGCGGUUGGUGGAAGAAGAGAUACUUCAUGAACAUGAGCAGCAGCAAGAGAUUGAGCUGAGCAGACAGCGGCAUGCGGGAGACUUGCUGGAGAAGAACAGGCUGGUUCACAUUUUGGAACAGAAGAAUAUAUUCCAGGAGAGGAUUGUCAGCCAUCGAGAAGCUGAAUUUAAUAAAAUAAAGAGGGAGAAAGAGGAGCGAAUCGGGAAACUUCUGCAGUUGAAGAAGCAGGAGAGGGAGGCUAAGAGGAAGUUGAUAUUCUAUUUGAAAUCUGAAGAGGAGAGGUUGAUAAAGUUGGAGGAAGAGGAGGCUGCUCGGAAGCUUGAAGAGGUUGAGAGGCGAAAGAAGGAAGAAGCAGAACGUCUGGCAAAGUUGAAUGAAAUUGCUGAAAAGCAGAGGAAGAGGGAGAAGGAAUUGGAAGAGAAGGAGAGGCUGAUGAAAGGUAGGCCCGCUGAGCCACCAACAAGGCCCGCUGAGCAUCCUGCUGGGUCCCCUCAGCCAGAACCUAUAGCUGUUGCUACUGCUGCUGCAUCAUCUACUGGGAAAUAUGUUCCCAAGUUUAUGCGUGCGAAACAGGAAGGCUCUGGAGUUGCUCCACCUCCGGAACCUGAUCGGUGGGGAAAACAGGAUGAUCGUCCACCCCAUGCUAAUGACAAGUGGCGUAGCGAUGACCGUCGGUACCCAAGUGGUGGCUCAAGGCCCACCACAUGGUCGUCAUCAAGGAUAACUCCGCGUGGUGGAUCUGAACGUUGACUGUUAAGCUGUCCUUUCCCUCUUCUGCUAGAGCAGCGUUAUGCUUCACGUCUUGGAGGCAAACAAUUUGUUGAAGGGAAAUUUCCCCUUUUUUGUUGAGAAUCUUAGCACCCGUAAAAAGAGAAUAAAAGCAGUAACUCCUCCGACCACCUUGCAUCUACACUGGAAAAAGAAUGAAGAAUGUCUUCUCAAUGCCAUACGUAUACAUGUAGAAUUACUAAAUAAAGCACUCCAGCUAUGAAGUGCAACCUCCAAGUGCAUCCCUUUGGUGAGACCCUUAGUUUGUUGGCCUCAUCCUCAGGUAAGACACCUGCCCACCCAGGCAACUACAAAUGUGAGUUUUAGGGGAGAGAAAUUUUCAUGUUGUAAAAUUUUCAGCUAUAGGAUAGGGUAUAUAUGUCAACCAUUGUUAGGAAUUUGUCACAUUUGAGCUCUUACGUUUACCUGUUGAGGAUUCUCACCUGGACUGCUUCCUACUUGAUAAUUGGUAGUUGAUAUUGUAAUUUGGUGUUGAAUCUAGUCUCCACCCUUCCAUUGUAAGAGGUUCCCCCAUGGCUCAACCUUGAGUCCCUAAGCAAGGGCAUGAAGGAUCCCCUUGGGUGAUGUAAGCACUGGCCUGUAUUGUCAACUAGUUCUGUCAUCAGUGGAAGCCAAUACAAGUGAUCCACAUUAGUCUUUGGAAAGAUGUGCUUCCUGAAGCCAUAUUGUAUCAGAAAAAAAAAAAAAACUGCAAUUCUCUCU